GAUGAACGCUGGCGGCGUGCUUAACACAUGCAAGUCGAACGGUGAAAGAGAGCUUGCUCUCUGGAUCAGUGGCGAACGGGUGAGUAACACGUGAGCAAUCUGCCCCUGACUCUGGGAUAAGCGCUGGAAACGGCGUCUAAUACCGGAUACGAGCUGCGAAGGCAUCUUCAGCUGCUGGAAAGAACUUCGGUCAGGGAUGAGCUCGCGGCCUAUCAGCUAGUUGGUGAGGUAACGGCUCACCAAGGCGUCGACGGGUAGCCGGCCUGAGAGGGUGACCGGCCACACUGGGACUGAGACACGGCCCAGACUCCUACGGGAGGCAGCAGUGGGGAAUAUUGCACAAUGGGCGAAAGCCUGAUGCAGCAACGCCGCGUGAGGGACGACGGCCUUCGGGUUGUAAACCUCUUUUAGCAGGGAAGAAGCGAAAGUGACGGUACCUGCAGAAAAAGCACCGGCUAACUACGUG
rnacentral:rRNA from 1 species